AGAGUUUGAUCAUGGCUCAGAUUGAACGCUGGCGGCAGGCUUAACACAUGCAAGUCGAACGGUAGCAGGAAGAAAGCUUGCUUUUUUUGCUGACGAGUGGCGGACGGGUGAGUAAUGCUUGGGAAUCUGGCUUAUGGAGGGGGAUAACUGUGGGAAACUGCAGCUAAUACCGCGUAUAAUCGAGAGAUGAAAGGGUGGGACCGUAAGGCCACUUGCCAUAAGAUGAGCCCAAGUGGGAUUAGGUAGUUGGUGGGGUAAGGGCCUACCAAGCCUGCGAUCUCUAGCUGGUCUGAGAGGAUGGCCAGCCACACUGGGACUGAGACACGGCCCAGACUCCUACGGGAGGCAGCAGUGGGGAAUAUUGCGCAAUGGGGGGAACCCUGACGCAGCCAUGCCGCGUGAAUGAAGAAGGCCUCGGGUUGUAAAGUUCUUUCGGUGAUGAGGAAGGGGUAUUAUUGAAUAGAUAAUAUCAUUGACGUUAAUUACAGAAGAAGCACCGGCUAACUCCGUGCCAGCAGCCGCGGUAAUACGGAGGGUGCGAGCGUUAAUCGGAAUAACUGGGCGUAAAGGGCACGCAGGCGGACUUUUAAGUGAGAUGUGAAAUCCCCGAGCUUAACUUGGGAACUGCAUUUCAGACUGGGAGUCUAGAGUACUUUAGGGAGGGGUAGAAUUCCACGUGUAGCGGUGAAAUGCGUAGAGAUGUGGAGGAAUACCGAAGGCGAAGGCAGCCCCUUGGGAAUGUACUGACGCUCAUGUGCGAAAGCGUGGGGAGCAAACAGGAUUAGAUACC
rnacentral:rRNA from 1 species